UGUUUUGGCGCCAAGCUGCUGUUUCUUUGAGAGAUCCUGCCUUUACCUGCUCCCUCCUAUACUGAUGUGGUGUAUGUGGUAUUGCUGAGCUUGUAUGUGGUGGAAGCAGAAUAUGUGAGGAUUACUACUGCUGCACAUGUUCCAAGGCUUUUUACACAACUUGACCAAUACACCAAUGACCAGCUCAUAAAAGUCUUCAAGAAAAAAGGAGGCGUUGCAGGGAAGAAAAUUAGACAAACUUUGGCCCCAGCCACACAGGUGCGUUAUUCUGUUGGUAGCAAAAUAUUAUGGCUAAUAAGAUCAUUUUCAAAUUUAAACAGCUAGUGUAUGGUAGCUGCACAGUGCACUUACAUUUAUAUUAAGCAAGACAAAGUUUGGUACUCAAAACGUUGGAAAAUUUAAAUUACCUAAACAUAUGUAAAAUCUGAUCCCUUGAUUUAGGUUAAACCAGAAGUGAAUGUUUUUAUGUUAUGUUUUGAAUGCAAAAAAGAUGAUGUAUUAGUUUGUCUUUACCUCCAUUAUGGACAUAUAUAAUGUGGUGGAAACCCUGCCCAACAGGUUAACUAUUC